GCUAAACUCCUUAAACUGGAUAUAUUUGUGUUUUGUUUGCUUCAAGUAUAUAGACAUAUAUUCCUUGAUCAAAACUCAUUGACACUGCUACCACUAAUUUGCUUCAGGUCAUCGACUUGAAGAUUGAUAAAUAUGGUUCUGUUAUUAUGCAGGAGUUGUGUGAUCUGAGGAGAAACUAUUCUCUUGCAAAUCGGAUAAUUGUUGUAGGAAUUAAAAGGCACAUGAUUGUACUGUUGUUCUGGGAUUUCGUUUCUUACGUUCCUCGACCCUAAUGUCUACAUGAGGUGUGAGUUCAACGGAUAAAGGAAAUCACAUUACUAAUAGAAUGAUGCCGCAGCAAAGAAAAUGCUCUCAGCCUUGGACGAUCCAUUCACUCGAUUCUUGAAACCAUUACCUUUUCUGAAGCAAGACUAGCUAGCACCCAAGGUGCCGUGGCAGGUGUACGUUUAUCCAUUGGCUACCCGUUGGAGCAUCACUUGCGGUGCUCUUUGUAAUGUCACUUGGUGGGUUUUGCAGAAAUGACUGUCUAGAGACGUUUUAUCUUGAUAAUUGACAACAUAAGAGUGCAAAAAAUUUGACAGCAAAUCGCUUAUGGGGUCAUCAAGGAAACUCAAUAGAUGGCUAUUUCAGUGGAGAUUAUACCAGAGAUGUUGUUUUGAAAGUAUAUGCCAGGAGAGAAAGAUAUACUUGAAACCCGAUGAGGUCAAUGAUGUGGAGAUUUUACCAGAGAUGUUGUUUUCAAGUAAGAUUUUGUGUGAGAUUAUACCGAUCGCACCAGCACGCCACAUUGUUGCUCCACGGCAAAGGCAGCGAGCGACUGGCUGGCUGCUGCUGGCUUGUACGUGUGGAAGGCAGUUGUUCACGGCAGACCAGUGAGCGGCGGCGGGUGGGCGCGACCACAUGGUGGUUGGAAGGUAGGCUUCGCGGCGUUCAACCUCGGCCACCAUCGUACCACGAUCUCGGCCCACCCGGAAAGUCGGAUGAAGAGGUGGUGGACGACUGAUCCCUGAGAGGAGAACAAGCCUCCGAGCACGUGCUCGUCAACUCCAUGCCGGCCGCUCCAAGCGCCCCUGCUUCGUGUCUUCAAGGCAGGCGCCGAGAUAGCCUUUGCAGCGAGCUGUGGUGUGUGGACUCUGCGGCGAGAUGGGAUUCAGAAUCCUUUUUCGUGAUAGCACAUCCAAGGAAGGAAGGAGAUUGAGGUUGGCACCUCCUGAAGGCAUGCAUGCUCUUCACCGAGAGAGGGAAGGGCAUCUUUUUCUUGGGUUGCAGUUUCCACCUUGUUGUUGGGUGAGCUGAUUCGUUGUUUGUCAGAGCUCUUGUGGAUAAUCAGACAUGGGGUGCAUGGCAAAAUUAGGACAGACUGAAGGCAGCAAAUUCCGCGUUGGUCGUGCACUUUGAGGAGAAGACAUUGUCUUUGUAUAAGUGCCCCUACAAUCAUCUCUUUACAGCAGAGAUAAGGCCUUCAGAUAGAUAUGGCCGCAUAAAUCGCACCGAUGGAUCCAGUCCUUCGCUAGGUCCAACCUACCUUGCACCAGCCUCAAGCACGUUAUUCAGUCAACGCAUAUUCUGUCUUUUGGCAUGUGUAUGCUUGCUCUUGUGCUCAUGUUGUAAUCGUGACCUGUAAUCAGUCCAUGAUCCUUGUGUGACCAGAAGUUGGGCAUAACUGCAUUGUUACUGAGAAGAUGUGAAUAUUAACUUAGGGAUCGGAGCUGAAGC